CAACCUCUGUAGCAUGGGGGCCAUUUAAGGGGAGUGGAGACAGAAUCUCCUCCCUCUGCCUGGUUAUCCCUUACUCCCCACCUCACCCUCACAAGCUCUCCAAGUGUGGCCUUUCCUGAGCAGCCUGCCCCUGGACCACCCUAGCUCAUUUCACUCUUCUCAAGGCUGGCCCCAAUUCCCCUAUCACAUAGUGAGGUGGCUUCUGAAGGUGAUGUGACCACUAAAUCUAGCUUAUUCUGGACAAGGGUAUCAGGAACUGCUUCUGAUCUUGCAAACCUAUGAUCUGCUCUUUUUUGGGCCCUUCUGUCUCUUCUCUGAAGCUCUGGAGAGAGGUCAGAGGAGUCCUCUCUUCCACGUAAGACUCCUAGUCACAGAGGUCCCCUGCUUCCUACCUACCUCUAGAGGCUUGCUUUGUUUCAAGGCUCUCACCGCAGACGCACGGUCGCCAUCAGCGCUGUAAACGUACGUUCCCUCCCACCGCCACUAAGUCGGGCUGCAGGCGUGUCCAAGCAUGCUGUCCGCACGCACCCAGGCCUGCACCCAGCACCUGCUCAAGACGGGCUCAGCCCCGCGGCCCGCCCGAAGCCCGAGGGCCGGGGCUCUUCCCCUGACACCCCCACCAGCCUCCUGUUGGCCGAGGGCCGGCCGGGCGCCUCCCAGAGAUGUCCCAGAGACUUCCCGCUCCCAUCCCCAGACACCAGCGCGCCCUCAGAGGAGGUUCCGCAGCACUCUCACCGCAGGCGCGCAUCCUUCUCUUCCCGAGACCUUCGGGCUCCAAGACCACUUUCCCGCAGUCCGGAGCGGACGAAUGAGGAGGCGGGGCUACGACUGCGCUCGCGAGAAGGAGCCCAGAAGCCCCUUCCCAGAGUGCCCCGCAGUGAGGCCUAAGGAUUCAGGACUACAUUUCCCAUAGACCUCCGCAGCAACGUUGAAGUCACUCUUUCGGCAUUUCCGCGUUUUAGAAAACUGGAGGCUGCUGUUCUUGAAAGUCUCCCGCCCAUCUGAGCCAGAAGAGGUUGAGGAUGAAACUUGAACUCUUCUGCCAAAUACAAAGAGCGCCCCUCUCUUGGCUCCGUAUUGAAAUGGCAUUUUCUCCCUUAGGUUAUUUGUAAACAAUAGGAAAACUUGAAUAUGGAUGGGAUACUAAAAAUACUAAAAUUACGGUUAAGUAGGUGAAGUGUGAAAAAAAAAAAACUUUGAAGUUAUGUAGGAAAAUUGAUUUUGCAAAAAAAGAAAUGUUAUGACAACUGAGG